CCUACGGGAGUCAGCAGGGCGGCAUUUGGGACAAUGGGGGCAAGCCUGAUCCAGCAAUCCAGCCUGAGUGAAGAAGGCAUUAGGGCUGUAAAGCUCUUAAGUCAGGGAAGAAACGGUAGAGGCUAAUAUCCUUUGCUAAUGACGGUACCUCAUGAAUAAGCACCGGGUAAAUAUGUGCCAGCACACGCGGUAAUACACAGGGGGCACGCGCUAAUUGGAAUUUCUGGGGGUAAAGCGUGCGCAGGCGGUUUUGUAUGUGUCACGUGAGAUCGCCGGUUUCACCCCGAGAGCCGCGUUGGAGAGAGCAAGUAGAGUAUGUUCCGGAGGGGGGGAGAAUUCCGCGUGUAGCAGAGAAAUGUAGAGAUCAGGCAAGGAACACCGAGGGAGAGGGCUCCGCCGGGGGUCAAGUUACACUCUCGGACGAAAGAUAGGGGGGAGAAAGCGCUUGGAGCAUCAGCAGAGUCCACCCUAAGCGAGAAUGAUGGUAGUAUCUGGUUCUAACCACUCGGUGCCGCAGCUAACGCGUUAAGUUACCGCCUGGGAGACCCCAAUUG
rnacentral:rRNA from 1 species